UGGAGAAAAUUUAUUCACCUUCAGAGACAUAUGCAGAAAUUAAAGUAAAUGAAGUAGAAGGAAGAUAGGAUGAGGAAGUUACAAAAAAGUUAAAGUAUGG